rnacentral:rRNA from 1 species
UACGGAGGGUGCAAGCGUUAAUCGGAAUUACUGGGCGUAAAGCGCGCGUAGGCGGCUUGUUAAGUCGAAUGUGAAAUCCCCGGGCGUCAACCUGGGAACGUGCAUCCGAUACUGGCUGGCUAGAGUGCGGCAGAGGGGGAGUGGAAUUCCGCGUGUAGCAGUGAAAUGCGUAGAUAUGCGGAGGAACACCAAUGGCGAAGGCAAUCCCCUGGGCCGUGCACUGACGCUCAUGCACGAAAGCGU